rnacentral:snRNA from 1 species
GCUUUUAAAAGUUCUUGGAUGUGAUACCUGUCACCCCAUCGAUCACCAGGGUUGAUUCGGCUGAUCUGGCUGGCUAGGCGGGUGUCCCCUUCCUCUCUCAUUGCUCCAUGUGUGUCUGUCUCGAAGUGCACACUUGGUCAAAGAGGAUGACCUUCCCCAAUGGAGAAGGAUCGUUUUUUUGGUCAGAGGUGUAUGAGUAGCUGGGGUACCCUGCUAGAACUUCAAACAAGUUCCUAAAAGGAGUUCUUAUUGAGGCAUGAAACCUUAAGAAUCCUAGAAGAAGAGGUGGGAAAUCCCUCU